rnacentral:rRNA from 1 species
UACAGAGGGUGCGAGCGUUGUUCGGAAUUAUUGGGCGUAAAGGGCGCGUAGGCGGUGCGGUAAGUCACCUGUGAAAUCUCCUGGCUCAACUGGGAGCUUGCAGGCGAAACUGCCGUGCUGGAGUGUGGGAGAGGUGCGUGGAAUUCCUGGUGUAGCGGUGAAAUGCGUAGAUAUCAGGAGGAACACCUGUGGCGAAAGCGGCGCGCUGGACCACAACUGACGCUGAGGCGCGAAAGCUAGGGGAGCAAACAGG